rnacentral:rRNA from 1 species
AACGAACGCUGGCGGCAUGCCUAACACAUGCAAGUCGAACGAGACCUCCGGGUCUAGUGGCGCACGGGUGCGUAACGCGUGGGAACCUGCCCUUAGGUUCGGAAUAACUCCCCGAAAGGGGUGCUAAUACCGGAUAAUGUCUUCGGACCAAUGAUUUAUCGCCUUUGGAUGGGCCCGCGUUGGAUUAGCUAGUUGGUAGGGUAAAAGCCUACCAAGGCGACGAUCCAUAGCUGGUCUGAGAGGAUGAUCAGCCACACUGGGACUGGGACACGGCCCAGACUCCUACGGGAGGCGGCAGUGGGGAAUAUUGGACAAUGGGCGAAAGCCUGAUCCAGCAAUGCCGCGUGAGUGAUGAAGGCCUUAGGGUUGUAAAGCUCUUUUACCCGGGAUGAUAAUGACAGUACCGGGAGAAUAAGCUCCGGCUAACUCCGUG